rnacentral:lncRNA from 1 species
AUGUUUAGAAAUGUCGAGCACUUGAUGUACACUAGGAAAUCGGGCAGGGAGGCAUAUUCAGUGUCCUCCAAUGACAACGGGGGCAAGUCAGAUUCGGUGGCCAACCUGCAGCCUCAGCCAUCCCUCAACUCCAUCCAGAGCUCUCCGGGCCCCAAGCGCUCGACCAACACGCUGAAGAAAUGGCUGACCAGCCCUGUGCGCCGGCUGAACAGCGGCAAGACUGAGAGCAACAUCAAGAAGCAGAAGAAGGUGCGAGAUGGCAGGAAGAGCUUUGACCUCGGCUCACCAAAGACCGGAGAUGAAACCACUCCGCAAGGAGACAGCGCCGAUGAGAAGAGCAAGAAGGGUUGGGGAGAAGAUGAGCCAGACGAAGAAUCUCAUACACCUCUUCCUCCUCCCAUGAAGAUUUUUGACAAUGAUCCAACCCAAGAUGAGAUGUCCUCUUCUUUGCUAGCUGCUCGACAGAGCUCCUCCGAUGUCCCGACUGCUGCGGAUCUUGUCAGUGCAAUAGAAAAGUUGGUCAAAAGUAAGCUGACCCUUGAAGGAGGAUCUUACCGAGGAACCUUAAAAGAUGCCACUGGCUGCUUAAAUGAAGGAAUGACGCCUUCAACUCCCCCAAGAAACCUUGAAGAGGAACAAAAAGCCAAAGCAAUGAGAGGCAGGAUGUUUGUCUUAAAUGAGCUGGUGCAGACCGAAAAAGACUACGUCAAAGACUUGGGAACUGUUGUGGAGGGCUUCAUGAAGAGAAUAGAAGAAAAAGGAGUUUCCGAAGAUAUGAAAGGGAAAGACAAGAUAGUAUUUGGCAAUAUUCACCAGAUCUAUGACUGGCACAAAGACUUUUUCCUGGCUGAACUGGAAAAAUGUCUUCAAGAGCAUGACCGUUUAGCACAGCUUUUUAUUAAACAUGAGCGUCGAUUACACAUGUAUGUGGUGUAUUGCCAAAAUAAGCCACGAUCUGAAUAUAUAGUAGCUGAGUAUGAGGCAUAUUUUGAGGAGGUUCAACAGGAAAUAAACCAACGACUAACCAUCAGUGAUUUUCUGAUCAAACCCAUUCAAAGAAUAACUAAAUAUCAGCUUCUUCUCAAGGACUUCCUGCGGUACAGUGAAAAAGCUGGGCUGGAGUGCUCGGAUAUAGAGAAAGCAGUUGAAUUAAUGUGCCUUGUACCGAAACGUUGCAAUGAUAUGAUGAACCUGGGUCGCCUCCAGGGCUUUGAGGGCAAGCUGACAGCUCAAGGCAAGCUGCUGCAGCAGGACACCUUCUAUGUGACCGAGCAGGAUUCUGGAGUUCAGUCCCGACCAAAGGAACGUAGGGUGUUUCUCUUUGAGCAAAUAGUUAUCUUCAGUGAACUGCUUAGGAAAGGAUCUUUAACACCAGGCUACAUGUUCAAGAAAAGCAUAAAGAUGAACUACCUUAUCAUUGAAGAAAAUGUGGACAAUGAUCCUUGCAAGUUUGCUCUGAUGAGCCGGGAAACAUCAGAGAGAGUUAUUUUACAGGCAGCUAAUCCAGAAAUUCAGCAAGCUUGGGUACAGGACAUCAACCAGGUUCUGGACACACAAAGAGAUUUCCUAAAUGCGCUACAGUCUCCCAUAGAGUACCAACGCAAAGAAAGUAGCUCAGCAGUGCUGAGGCCCCAGACCGGUAGGGUCUCUCAGCCCAACAGCAGACCCUAUUCUUCUGUUCCAGUAGGGUCUGAGAAGCCUUUGAAGGCUACAAGCCGUAAUCCCUCUCUCCCACCCCUGAAGAUAUCUACCUCCAACGGCAGCACAGGGUAUGAACAUUCACAGCCCGGAGACAAGUACGAACAAAGCAAGACUGAUUUGGGAGGGUGCAAUGGGACCUCUUCCAUGGUUGUGAUUAAAGAUUACUAUGCACUGAAGGAGGAUGAGAUCUGUGUGAAUCAAGGAGAGGUGGUUCAGAUCCUCGCUAUCAACCAGCAGAACAUGUUCCUGGUGUACCAGCCUGCAAACGACCACUCUCCGGCUGCUGAAGGAUGGAUCCCUGGCAAUAUCUUGGCUCCCCUCACUAAAUCCACCACAGAUAGUAGCGACGGAAGCAUCAAGAAGUCAUGUUCAUGGCAUACCCUGCGCAUGAGAAAGCGGGCGGAAAAGGAGAGCAGUGGCAAAAAUGAAGCCAAUGGGCCACGUAAAUCCAAGGAUAUUCUGGGGAACAAAGUCUCUGUUAAAGAGACAAACAGCUCAGAGGAGUCAGAGUGUGAUGACCUUGACCCCAAUACUAGCAUGGAGGUAGAGACAAUCAUCCUUGUCAUUAUUUUUGUCCAAGAACAUGUGCCUUUUCUUGUGCCUUUAGUGGAUAUCACCUGCCUGCUUGGUGACACAGUGAUGCUGCAGUGCAAAGUCUGUGGACGUCCCAAACCAACUAUAACCUGGAAAGGACCAGAUCAAAACAUUCUUGACAAUGACAACAGCACAGCCACCUACACGGUGUCAUCCUGCGAAUCCGGGGAGCUGACGCUGAAGAUCUGUAACGUGAUGCCCCAGGAUAGCGGCAUUUACACCUGUGUGGCAGUUAAUGAGCACGGGACGGCAUCAACCUCAGCCACAGUCAAAGUCCAAGGUGUCCCGGCUGCCCCAAAUCGCCCCAUUGCUCAGGAGAGAAGCUGCACCUCUGUGAUCCUUCGCUGGCUGCCCCCCUCCAGUACAGGCAAUUGCACCAUUUCAGGCUACACUGUGGAGUACAGAGAAGAAGGCUCGCAGGUCUGGCAGCAGUCGGUGGCCUCAACUCUGGACACCUAUCUUGUCAUUGAAGACCUGUCCCCAGGCUGCCAGUACCAGUUUCGAGUGAGCGCCAGCAACCCCUGGGGGAUCAGCUUGCCCAGUGACCCAUCUGAAUUUGUGAGGCUCCCAGAGUACGAUUCUGCUGCUGAUGGUGCCACUAUUUCAUGGAAGGAAAACUUUGACCUUGCUUAUGCAGAGCUGCAUGAGAUUGGGAGGGGACGAUUCUCCAUAGUAAAGAAAUGUGUUCACAAAGCUACCAGGAAAGACGUUGCUGUAAAAUUCAUUAGUAAAAAAAUGAAAAAGAAAGAGCAAGCGGCACAUGAAGCAGCCCUGUUACAGCACUUACAGCAUCCUCAGUACAUCACUAUCCAUGAUACCUACGAGUCUCCGACUUCUUACAUCCUAGUUUUGGAGCUGAUGGAUGACGGUCGUCUCUUAGAUUACCUAAUGAACCAUGAUGAACUCAUGGAGGAAAAGGUAGCUUUCUACAUAAGAGACACAAUGGAAGCCUUGCAGUAUCUUCACAAUUGCCGAGUGGCUCAUUUAGACAUAAAGCCAGAAAAUCUGCUCAUUGAUUUAAGAAUUCCAGUACCUCGUGUCAAGAUCAUCGAUUUGGAAGAUGCAGUUCAAAUCACAGGUCAUUAUCACGUCCACCACCUCCUUGGAAACCCAGAGUUUGCAGCUCCUGAAGUUAUCCAAGGCCUUCCUGUCUCCCUGAGCACAGACAUCUGGAGCAUCGGGGUCCUCACCUACGUCAUGCUGAGUGGUGUCUCUCCCUUCCUGGAUGAAAGCAAAGAGGAGACUUGUAUCAAUGUGUGCAGAGUAGAUUUCAGCUUCCCACCCGAGUACUUCUCUGAUGUGAGCCAUGCCGCCAGGGAUUUCAUCAACGUUAUCCUCCAGGAAGACUUCAGAAGAAGGCCAACAGCAGCCACGUGUUUACAGCAUCCAUGGCUGCAACCGCACAACGGCAGCUAUUCCAAAAUCCCUCUGGAUACCUCCCGCUUGGCUUCCUUCAUCGAGCGCCGCAGACACCAGUACGACGUGCACCCUGUCCCCAGCGUCAAGAGUUUCCUGAUGAGCAGGCUGAACCCAGGAACGUAA